CGAUCAGAUUAAGUCAAGGGUUUUCACCCUUUUCUAAGCCUCCAACCCCGAAUUCCCUAUCUCCCUGAUUCGUUCUGGAGAGUAUCAACAACGCUCAGAGAAUUCACCCGACCAAUUCUCAUCUCAAGCACCAUCUAUUUCUUCAACUAAUGGGAUGUUAGCAGUCCCCAUGAGAAAGAAACUAAUGAGAUGUCAGUGCCUCUGGAAUUAAAGACUUCUCGAACUCAAGCAAUUACUCAACACUGAAGUGGGGACGUGACAAGAGACUCCAAGGUUGAU